CAAGUUUCUACAUUUUGAGAUAUUUGACCUUGUUUGGUUGAACCUUUGUGAUUUCAUCGGAUUGAGAUAUUUGGUCACGCUUUUAAGCGAGAUUAGAAUAUAUGAAGGCCAGAAGGAUUUGAGUUGUCAAACCCACAUCCUGUGAACCUCCCACUUUGGCCCUGUCGCCCCUUCAAAUGCCUUUUGAUUUUGGGAGAGAACUCAAGCACAAGAUUGGUUGAGCUUCGUGCCAGAAAUUGGAUAAGGGUUUUGAUAACCAUUGAAUGGAUUUGUUGAUUUUUAUGCUUCUGCCCUGAACUUUAUCUUUUGCUCUUAUUGUGGGAAUGUCUCCACAGCCGACAUUGUUGUUAUUUCAUCUUUAUGGUGUGGUGGAUGCCACUCGGUUUUGCUUGAAUCAACAGAAUGAAUACUCCUCUUUCUUUGAUACCCUAAAGCAAUGUGGAUUUUGUAUUA